AAAGAAUUGUCCUACUUUUAAUUAGGAUAGUUUUAUAUGAAAAAAAAGGUAUGGCCUCUUCAUGCUGCGUCGUGCUUUAUUUUUGAAUGGGCCCCAAUCCAAGAGAAAUUUAACCUGUGCUAUUUUUUCUCUUACUUAGGCCGCUGUGCCCACUGAGAGCUGCAGUGCAGGUGCAUUGUGUCGGGUUGGCUAAUAAAAAAUGAAUGCCUUUGUACAUAGUGGCAAUAUUUUUGGCUACCCCUUGUAGAUAUCCAUCCAAAUCAUCAUCAUAAAAAGUUCUUAUACCUAGGCCACUCCAACACCUAAAGCCAAAAUAACUAGCGUAGGCUAUAUUUCUAAAAGUAUCUGAAACAACUCUUUCUGCCCACAGAUCCUGCUAAGAGACUUCGGCAAAUAAGGCUAAAUCUUACAUAUUCUUCAUUUUCUCCUAGACAGGUUGUAUUUGAGUUGCUGCUCACAUCUUCUUUUUUGUUUCCAUUAAUCAAUGACUUUACUUGCAUUUGGCCUCCGUUAUCAAAUUACUGAAUUAAGUGGUACCUCAUGGCAACCAAGUAGACCACAAAAAAACAUUUGUCCAAUGAUGGUUGGAAAACCAUGAAAAGUGUCUAGUUGGUUGCUAUGGGGAAAGCCAUAAUUCACUGUGAUAUUUCCAGUAGCAUACUUACCAAAUUUUAGGUUGCCCCCAAACCACCUGCUUGCAGGAAUUGCUGCACAAAGCCUACCUUACCCACCCACUCACAGCCUGCAAUCACCAUAAUGACUGCCUUAUUGAGUUACUGCACAUGCGUGAUAACUCAAGCAAGAGUGAUCCCAGGACAUUGCCAAGGACACAGUAUUGUCGGGACUGAGGUCCAAAAUGCAGGACUGUCCCAACAAUCUGGAACAGUUGGCCAGCAAAAGAUCAUUAGGCCUCAAUCAUUAACCUGAAGCAAUGUGUUUGUGUUGCCUAUGGUGACCAAUCAAAUUUUAAAUACUAUUUUUCUACUGCAGUUAAGCCCCCUAUUCACACCUAAGCAAUUUGUCAAACAUUUCCUAAAGAGAAAACAUGAUCAACAUGAGCUUUCCUAUAAGUCAAUGCCACCUGUUCACACCUGAGCGUCAUGCCGCCCCAUGUAAAUGAGUUUUUUUCACACAUAAUUGUGCAUUCUUGACCCCAAAUACUGCAACAAAACUACUUAAAUAUGCACAACAGAAGCAUUUUAGCACACUUGUAGUGCAUUUUUGCAUCCAACGUUCAUCCUACUAGUGAGGACCCACAAGAAGCCCUGUGGUGAGGAGGCAAUAUAACACCGAUUCACCGCCUGUCCAAUGCCCUUUAAAGAGUGAUCCAAUACAAUGUAUGGGUAAAUGAGGCCUAAAGUUGUUCCGAAGGAAAGUGGGGAUUAGUGCGCAGCCUUUCUUGAGAUACAGAAACAUAUUGAUAUCACAGAUUAUAUGUUUUUUCCACUGGCCAAAACAAAAUGUACAUGAAACAAUGCAUGUUACGUGCAACAAAAGCGCACAAAAAAAUCUUUAAAAUCCCCUGAAAACGCUCACGCUCAGGUGUGAAUUGGGACCAAGAACAAUAAAAGCCAACUGGUCUCCAUAACAACACAGGCCCAUUUCCCUUCCUUUGGUCCCAAAGAUUUUGCGCACCUCAUCCUUGCCCCUUGUUACCCGCCAACCGCCUCACAAAAUGGCCACCAAGGGCAGUUUCCCCUGUUUUAUACACUCAGCACCCUUGCUAUGCCCUGCGCACAAUACCGAGCAUCGAGGGAGUUUGCAAUAAUAUGUGUGUGUGAGUGCUUGCGUGGUUACGUGUAGAAGUGCACGCAGUGUGCAUGAGUCCAGCUGCCUGUUGUGUGCAUGCACAGAACUAAAAAGAGUUCUACGAAUAGGCAAAUAACUGUAAAUAUCUAAUUUUAUACGGGGGAGAAAACAACCCUGUCGAUAGCGCAGGGCGUUUAUGAGAGAAAAAACAAAAAAAAACGAUCUAUGUGAAAACCUAUUUUCUGUUACAUUAUUUAGUAGUUUAUGCCGUAUGAACUAUUGUCGGUGAUUUACUGGUGAAGAGGUAUACUAUGAUAUCACCCAAGUUUAUUGUUGAAUGUUUCACCUUUGAACACAACACUGUAUGCCAUGGCUCACGUACACAUGUAUAUUUUAUGUAUAUGGGGGUUGUGAUCAAUCACAGUGCACUUGUGACCUUCACAGAGUCCCGGUGGCCAUUUUGUAGGCUGAAGCACUCACAACAGGCUUUUAGUCAUUCGCUAGGCCUCAAUAUCCUUGACGACGGUGGAGCUCUCAAAUUGGCCACCGAGCUGUGCUGUGCUAGGAGGACCGGUGCACUUUAAAUACAUUAAAAUGAAAAAGGAAUAAAAAAAGAACUUUAAACAAGGAAUCACUGGAAGUUUUAAAUUUGUGACCUGGAUUCCAGAGUUGAAUAGAAUUGUAUUCUUAUUUGAUAUGCUGCUAAGUUAUAUAUAAAAAAAAAAUCAAGUGUACUUUGAUAUAAAUAGGACUAUUUCUGUAUAUAAAGUAUGUACACGUAUAUGUUAGCAAUACUAACAUGGAGUGUAUGUUUCUAUGAGGAUUUACAGUGAGAUUUGUGACAAGAGAUGAAGAAAGCCUGUAUUAAAUAAAGUCGAGUCAUUUUGGGAAA